GAUUUUCUCGACAUUUUAAAUGAAUAAUAAUAAUGGAAACGUCAAGGGCGUUAGGCGAUUUUCAAUUAUGAGAUAUAGUAUUCGCUAAGUCGUUUAUACGACUAGUGAUAUUGAAUACGUAAACAAGUAUAAAAUGAAACUGAAGUAUAAAACCUAAAAGUAUUAUACGUAUAAGAAUACGAGAAUCACGUCUAACUAUUAACGAUUUAUCAGACGUGUCAGCGAGUAGUGGAAGCAGUAGAGGCGGACUAGCGAGAGCGUACUAUCAAAUCGAUCAUAUCAUUUCUUGGAUUGCGGUCACUACGUGUCAGCGAGUAGUGGAAGCAGUAGAGGCGGACUAGCGAGAGCGUACUAUCAAAUCGAUCAUAUCAUUUCUUGGAUUGCGGUCACUGUGCUUAGCUUGUGGACUUAGCUAGAGGCCAAUUUUGAAGUCCAGAAGUCAGCUGUAUAUAUUAGUUUCUGACUUCUGUGAGUGCUACAGUAGUGGUCCUGUGUCAA